GAUUUACUGUUUUUAAAAAACAGAAUGGUUACAUCAGAUAAUAAAAUCAAGACUACAAGUAUUCACUUUUUUUCAUCUGCAUGAUACAAGAGGCAGGACAGUGUUCCCCAGAGAGUUCAGUUAGUAACAUUUUAUGCAGGAGCACUGAUUGGCUCUACUCGGGUCAUUUGACAAUAUCUGGAUAUGUCUUUGAGGCCAAACAGGGGAGCGAUAUGAUUGGUUCAGUUUCUCUCUUAUAUAGCAAACCUCUCUGAGCAUAAAGGAAUUGAUGAUGUUUACUAGAAUCAUAUGGAGAUGAGCAGAAACUUCCUCUAAAGAAUGAAAAGGCUGAUACCCCCCAAAGGAGGAGGUCAAGAUGCUGGUCUGGCACACUCUUCCUGCGUUUAACCUCACUGAAGCCAGACUAAUCCACAGAUGUACUUAAAUGCCUAUGACUCAUAUGAAGGUUAUCGUUUUAGAAGAGACCUUGAAAACAUACUCUGGAUUUAGAGUAAAAAAAAUAAAAUAAACUGACAUUUCCAAGAGGAAAGACUUCUUUUAAUUUUAUAUUGCACAUGCAGAGCUAAAAGCAUAUAAACAUGUACAGUAAAUAGCAUAAUAUUAAUCACAUAAUGAAAAUUACAUCUAAAUGAGAAACAUGUUGUAAACUACAGUCACAAAAAAACAUACAAAAUUAAUGUGGACACCUGCCGGCUUUCCUUAUAUCAAGAGAAAAUAAAACUCAUUGUAAUUUAAUGAAUUAUUUUCUGUUAUAGUGCACUAAUUAUCUCUUCCUUUCACCCUCAGGAAGCAUCUUUUUAAAUUUCCAGUUGGAUCU
rnacentral:lncRNA from 1 species